ACACCAGUUCCCAUACGAUCACCGAAGCUAAGCAACGCUGAGCCUGGUCAGUAUCUAGAUGGGUGACCGCUUGG